AACAGGAUUAGAUACCCUGGUAGUCCACGCCCUAAACGAUGUCAACUGGUUGUUGGGAGGGUUUCUUCUCAGUAACGUAGCUAACGUGUGAAGUUGACCGCCUGGGGAGUACGGCCGCAAGGUUGAAACUCAAAGGAAUUGACGGGGACCCGCACAAGCGGUGGAUGAUGUGGUUUAAUUCGAUGCAACGCGAAAAACCUUACCUACCCUUGACAUGCCAGGAAUCUUGCAGAGAUGUGAGAGUGCUCGAAAGAGAACCUGGACACAGGUGCUGCAUGGCCGUCGUCAGCUCGUGUCGUGAGAUGUUGGGUUAAGUCCCGCAACGAGCGCAACCCUUGUCAUUAGUUGCUACGAAAGGGCACUCUAAUGAGACUGCCGGUGACAAACCGGAGGAAGGUGGGGAUGACGUCAGGUCAUCAUGGCCCUUAUGGGUAGGGCUACACACGUCAUACAAUGGCCGGGACAGAGGGCUGCCAACCCGCGAGGGGGAGCUAAUCCCAGAAACCCGGUCGUAGUCCGGAUCGCAGUCUGCAACUCGACUGCGUGAAGUCGGAAUCGCUAGUAAUCGCGGAUCAGCUUGCCGCGGUGAAUACGUUCCCGGGUCUUGUACACACCGCCCGUCACACCAUGGGAGCGGGUUCUGCCAGAAGUAGUUAGCCUAACCGCAAGGAGGGCGAUUACCACGGCAGGGUUCGUGACUGGGGUGAAGUCGUAACAAGGUAACC
rnacentral:rRNA from 1 species